UAUUUAUUUAUUUAUUUACUUAUUGUUUCCAUAUUACGUUGUUGUGCUCUUUGCAUUUAUGCAUUUCUCUUUUUCUCCGAGUGAUGAUCGACUGCUUUUUUGCUUAAACAGUAAUUUGGUCUUCUUGCAUAGGAAACUGAUCUGAGAAUUAAUAAUGAAUGUUGAGAUUUGGUUGCUGAAAGCUUUAGUUGUAUAAUAACAAAUUAAAUAAGGGCAAGUCAAUGUUCCCAGGGUUCAUUAUCAUUCCCUUUCUCACUCUUUCCAGCAACAUAUCAAGCUCCUUUGGCUUGAACAUCUGACUUGCAGGGUUAUUAUCUUGCUUCUCAAAAAUUGGGAUAUUGAAUUUCAACGCUGAAAAAGCGUUAAUGAUGACAAAUCAUGGUUCCAUUUUUGACCAGACAACCUGUCUGUUCUAGAGCAGAUUCAAAAAAACCACCUCCAUGAAUGGCUGAAUCAAUGCAAGGGGGAGAAAACUGAAUGAUUAUAUCUCUUAAUGUGAGCAUGCCCGUUGGCUGGUGUGAAUCAUCAACUAGAAAGCAAAAACUGCCUUUUGCAUCUGCUAAUUUGUUCAUUGCUUGCAUGAGUGUGUUGCUUCUUUUGGCAGUGACUGGAGAGUACAUUCUUGGAAGGAAGCUGCUUCUUAGGCGGAGUGCCUCCAGGUCUGGUUCAAUGGUAGGAUCAGCAUUAACUAUUGCAGUUGCUGUGUGAAUGAAUUCCCCCAUGGUUAGUUUUCUGUGACAGUGCAAAUCCUCAUUAUUUUGUCCAUAUUAUUAGUAGGCUGAUACCAGAGGUAGAAGAAAUCUUAUGCCACACUUACCUUCUAUCAUUAAAUAGUUCAUUAUUCUCCAAAAGAAGAUAAACAUCACUGUUCCUAAGGCAACCGAUGAGCUUUUUAGUUUCUCGAUUCACAACUGCAACUGAACCUAUUCGGCUUUCCCACAAGAUGUGAAUAGCUUCUGCUAAGCUGUGGUCUUCAUAGACAAGAAUGACUCGCCCUUCGCUAUCAAAGCUGUGCAGGAAAGAAAGAUGGGUAAACAAGUAGCUUAAUAGUUCGUAGCUCUUAAAAAAAAUAAUGGGUUGAUUGUUCAUUGUGAAUUUUUGUUAUGGUUUGGUGUGACAAUGCCUUGUCUGCAAUGCCAUCAAACCACUGUAGUCCACUUGAUUGAUUUGUCAAAGCACAGCAAAAACUUCAAAAUCUUCAUAUAUUAAUUUCUCUUCCAAUGAAAGAUAAUUGCAGUAAUUACAAGUGAACAAAUAUAUUUUAUAUCCUAGCAACAUUGUGGACAAUGAUGCUAUAUUAAAUUUACAGGUUUACAGAUUUCUCAAGAUGCUAGUUUAAUUAAUUUAGCAAGCACAAGUUGCAGCCAGGUAAUUAAGCACCUAUGUUACAAAACCAAUGAUCUGAAUAUCGAAUUGUUCAUUAACGGGCACAGCAUGCAGCUGGUGGUGCUUCGACAGAAGCAUCAGAACAUGAAACACUGUAUCGUCCAAGUGUACAGGGGAAAAAGGAUCCAAGAGGAAUGACUUGGCUAACUCCCCCACCUGUUCAUUCACCGCACAAUAUGACCACAGAGCUUAUCAAGAGAGAGGUCCCAAAACAUUGAAAUGCAAUCAAAAGGCCAGUGUCCAAGAUACCUUUGUUUGUCCUUACUUGUAAUGAACCUUGCGCUCUGGGAAGGAGCUGGUUCUUGAAACAAAGACCAACUGUCAGUCGCACCUUCAAGGGAAGACAGACAAAACUCUUUGUGAAAGAGAUCAAAUGAUCUGCUUGUUAUUCCGAAAUCAGCUUCUUCUGAAGCAAAGAUAAUGUCUGAGUUAUGUUUGUCAAGUGACUGUUCUAUAUUCUCCAAAUUUGAACAGCAAUCCUCAAUGCAGUUCUUGACAUCCUUGCAUCCUCUUGGAGUUUUUAUUCUUUCAGAAAACUUAGGACCUAGAGGUGACAAUGAUAGAGGAGAUGAAAUGGCCUUUUUAGGGGAUAAGGAUAUUGCCCUACUCUGGGAUCGUCCUUCACUUGAUUCUUUGAAAUGAUCAAGUGUAGGAGAGUAUAAGAGGGUACUGUUAGAAAGUGGGUCCUUGUUUUCCAGCAGAGGGCCAUCAGUGAGAAAAAUAGAUGCUACUGUGCUAUUGUCACAUAGCAUGUUUCUUUUAUCCAAACAACUGGAUAAGGACCAAGAUGAUGUGGUGAAAUUGAUUUUGCUACCAACAUUUGCUUUCUUAUAGUCGUGUGAAGCAGAAACAUUUAAAUUAUUGGUCAGAGCAGAGGAACUCAUCUGAGAAGCAUUGCAGCCAAUAUCCAGAUUAUCCCCAUAAAAGUGUUCUGCAGAAAGCAUGCUGUUUAGAGGUGACAAUAACCUUUUCCUAACAAGUGGCCCAGCCAGCUCACCUUCAUUCACUGUGAGGCUAGUCACAGAGGAAGAAUUUGGAUGAUCAGCAGAAAAUCCCUCAAAUCCAUUAUUUAAAGAACUUGCUCCCCGUGAUUCAAAACCAAUGAUCCUAGAAGCAGGAUUUUGGAUAUUCCUUCCACUUUUAGGAGUUAUUCGUCCAAUUUUAUCUGCAGAACCAGUUAUCAUUCCAUUAACAUGGGAAGUAGCAUCAAUUUCCCCUCCAAAUCUCAAGGAAUUCUCUGGAAAUUUUGAACGCUCCAAAGCAGUUUUGCUCUGAAACUCUCCCAAAGAAGAACUCAGAGUAUCCCCUACCCUUUGGCUUAUAUUUCCUCCAUGCAAUCCAUCCAAAUCACAGGUGCUCACACCAGCAAAUCGUGGUGGGCUUUGGAAAAAUGAACCCAACAGUGCUGCAGGAUCUUCAUUAGUAUCAUCAGCAGAGGAAACUUGUGGCAAGCCCAUGGCUCAAAUUUGUAGUCUCAAAUAUCUUUUACCCUCUUGAGCUGAAUAAUUUAUCUGCCCUUUUUUUUUUCAUUCUAAGUGAACCUAUUCAACUUUCAAUUCCAUAGAAUUCAAUAUUUCCUGCUCAAUUUUCCUAACAGAAGUUCAUCUGUUCUAUAUCAUCUAACGAAAGCAGUAUUAAUGCUUUCCUAACCUAUCAAUGUGAAUGAAUUUAAGUGAAAACCAACUGGUUCUACAAACCAACUAAGUCUACCAUUGCAGCUAAAAUCAGAAUGUAAACAAAUCCCACAAAAGCAAUUUCGUAUCCACAGAAAAACCAGUACUAUGUAUCCACCAAGGGCAUCCACUUUUGAUCCAUAACUCCUUUAUGAGAUUGCACAGAGAAAGCUGAACACAUACUAAUUACCCAACAAAAACGUGUAGCACAGAUUUUCUGACCUCCAAACCAGCAAACAAUGAAGCACCUAGAAUUCAUUGUUCCUAACAGAACGGAUGCAACUACCAAUAAAGCACGUGAUCAAGGAAUCCUGUAGACAAGACAUUUCAAUGGUGAUCUGCCAUGAAUUUCAAUCAAUUCCCAGAUCAUACAAUUACCACAUAAGAAUUAUAUACUCAAAUCUUUGACAAAGCAAGAGAAAGAACAAGGUUCUUCAAAGAAAGAUUAUAUUUUUUUCCGCUUUUUCUUUCUGGGUCUGCUUAGAAAGGAAGAUGGAGAAGAAAGAUAAGAAGGUGAGUGUGAAAUUCUAGAAGUAUGGGAGGAGAACGCCGUGUCCA
rnacentral:misc_RNA from 1 species